UAACCGUAGGUGAACCUGCGGUUGGAUCAUUAACAAAUUUUGAACUCAGCAGUGGUAACCCGCUGCUGUAGUUUCACUCCAAACCCUUCCAGACUCUUGGGUCUGUGUGAACAUUAUUGCCUACUAGCGGGUUAAAACAGCGGGAUUCGUCUUUGCUGGGUCUUCGGGUCACCCGCUAGCAGUGUUUUAAACUUGUAACAACUUCUAGUCAUUCUUUGUUUGAAAACACAAACAGAACAACUUUUGGCAACGGAUCUCUAGGCUCUU
rnacentral:misc_RNA from 1 species